rnacentral:rRNA from 1 species
CGGGCGGUAGCAAUACCGCUAGUGGCGCACGGGUGCGUAACGCGUAACCAACCUGCCCUUGACUGGGGGAUAGCCCGCCGAAAGGCGGAUUAAUACCGCAUAAACUAGCAGCCUGGCAUCAGGUAACUAGUAAAGAUUUAUUGGUCAAGGAUGGGGUUGCGUGACAUUAGCUAGUUGGCGGGGUAACGGCCCACCAAGGCGACGAUGUCUAGGGGACCUGAGAGGGUGAUCCCCCACACUGGCACUGAGAUACGGGCCAGACUCCUACGGGAGGCAGCAGUAGGGAAUAUUGGGCAAUGGACGAGAGUCUGACCCAGCCAUGCCGCGUGCCGGAUGAAGGCCUUCUGGGUUGUAAACGGCUUUUCUCAGGGAAGAAAACGGGUAUGCGUACCACACUGACGGUACCUGAGGAAUAAGCACCGGCUAACUCCGUGCCAGCAGCCGCGGUAAUACGGAGGGUGCAAGCGUUGUCCGGAUUUAUUGGGUUUAAAGGGUGCGUAGGCGGCCCGUUAAGUCCGGGGUGAAAGCCCACUGCUCAACAGUGGAACUGCCCUGGAUACUGACGGGCUUGAGUCCAGACGAGGUUGGCGGAAUGGAUGCUGUAGCGGUGAAAUGCAUAGAUAGCAUCCAGAACCCCGAUUGCGAAGGCAGCUGACUAGGCUGGUACUGACGCUG